rnacentral:lncRNA from 1 species
AGAAAAUUUUAUCAAUACAUUGGAAAACAAAACAUCAUAUUUUGGAAUGAUUUUCAGGGUCAUAGGUCUUGCGAAACAUGUAAUUGGUAAGCUUUCUUGACAUAAACACCUGUUUAGUAUAAUGGUUAUUACAACUGUUUUAGUGAACACUAAACCAGAAUCGCUAAAAUCCAUGUUAAGGUUAUGUAUUUUCCAGUUUGUUACAUGUUUGAAAUACCAUUUCAAUCAAAAAGCAUGUAUUGAUUAUAGUUUCUGGUACAUAUUUUCUUUUAUAAUUGUUUUUUU